UACGGGGGGAGCAAGCGUUGUUCGGAUUCACUGGGCGUAAAGGGUGCGUAGGUGGCCGGUUAAGUCUGACGUGAAAUCUCCGAGCCUAACUCGGAAACUGCAUCGGAAACUAUCCGGCUCGAGGGUUGGAGGGGGGACUGGAAUACUUGGUGUAGCAGUGAAAUGCGUAGAUAUCAAGUGGAACACCAGUGGCGAAGGCGAGUCCCUGGACAACUCCUGACACUGAGGCACGAAAGCUAGGGGAGCAAACAGG
rnacentral:rRNA from 1 species